AGCUAUAAUGAAAUGUAUCUGAGUGGCUUUUUCUUUUUUUGGCUUUCCUGACUUGUUGGUGUGUGUGUCUUUAAUCAGUGUGCAAGUGUUCUGACAAGUGACUAAAAUGUUCUUCGUGACAGUUCUGGAGCGGGCUGACGCUUGUGGCUAGGCAGAAACUGCUGCGAAUUGACAAGCAUACUUUGUUUGAGCAUGCUCGUAAGAACAUGUACUGUUCUA
rnacentral:lncRNA from 1 species